CCCAGCCAGAGCGUGACGUGCGGCGCCGCGGCCGAACGGCACGCGGGCAUGCCGCGUCGAUGCGGCCACUGCGCACAGCGAGUGGGCCCCGGCUGUAGCGCGCGGCUCCGCCGCGGGCGCGGCCACGGCGCAGCCCCAGCGCAUGCGCUUAGACGCGGCUCCGGUGCAGGUACGCGACCCCGUCGAGGGCGCGGCCUCGGUGAGGCUCCGACGCGCAUCCCCCGACGCGGCUAUAGAGGCGAUGCAUGUGCUCGACCACCACAUGCUGAAUGUCGUAGACGGGGCCUUCGUCGCGUGCCACGCAUGUGGACACACCACUGUCAUUUGUCAUUGCUUUCAUGCUUUGCCUCGGUGGAGAACCAG
rnacentral:lncRNA from 7 species